AGCCAGCCCGCCGCGCGCAGCAUGCCGGGAAGCCGGGGCCGGCCCUGCCGCCCCCGGGAGCGACGCGUCCCGCCCCGCCGGGAAACGACGCGGCUACGGGGCAGCGGAGCCCCGCGGGGGCGGCCCUGUGUCUGCGGACCGGGCUGCGACUGGACACGGGGUCUGUCUGCUACUGACACCCGGGGGCGCCGCCACCUUCACCCCCACACGCGUCCGGCUCGGUGGAAAAGCGGACUCAGGGCAGUUUUAUUUGGUUUUAUUUUUUCAUAAGUCGGGUUCGUGCCCUGACAACACCUGCUCCCCGUGGGAAAUGUUCCGAUCUUCGUCGGGCUGAAUUGGUCAGCACUGAUGUGCUGCUUAGGACAGACUCCUCCUAAGGAAUUCAGUAUUGUCUUUUUAGAUCCUGCCUCAGUUUAAUGAUACAUGAUUUAGAAUUUGAUCCAUUCAUUUGUGGCUGCACAAUCAGCUGAUCCAACUGAAAAAUACCUCACCACACAAGAGUUCCCUGUUGGAUCAUCUUCCUCAAUUGGAUCUCAUGUAAAAGAAGAGCUGGGAAGGAAUUACUGAAGACUCUAUACCAACUUCACCAAACUGGAUCAAGAAAAACAGGACAAGUACAAGAUGUUUUGGAUGGCGUAAAAGAUGCUGCAGUGCACAAGAAUUGUUGAAUCAUAGAAUCAUCAAGGUCGGAAAAGAUCUCCAAGAUCAAGAAUACGAUGAUAUUACUAAGACAAAAUGUAUCCGUCACAGGCCACAUGUCGAUAUUCAAGGCUACAGUGAUUUACUUUCCAUCUAUAAGUGUAUUUUGUCUUAGUAUUUUGUUAGUGCCCAAGUUGCAUGGCUUACUUAUGGCACUCUUGAAUAUUCCUUUAAAUAAAGAGAAUAUAUGAAACAUACCAAGACAGUUAGUCUAGUGUCUUGUGUCAUACGAGAAGUCAGGAUAAUAUUAUUCAAUUGUCCUUUUUGGCCUCAAUAUACAUGAAGUAUGCAAAUAGAAUUACAUGAAGCAUGGAGCUGGAGUUCCCUCAAUUACAUAUAACUUUAGAACUAGGCAAGUAAUAAAAUAAUAAACUUUAUAUUAUUAUUUGUCCUGACCAUUAAAAUGGUGAUGUGUAAAUUUGUACUUAAUACUUGUACAUGUUGAUGCCAGAAAAUAGAGUUUAUGCCUUCCUACUUUUUUUCCAUAUUCCAAGUACUACCUGCAGCUCAUGUUACAUAGCAUUUGAUAUGUUUACUUUGCAGUUUUCUUAAAUGAUAACAAGUUCACCAAAGGUAAACACAAAGUAGUUGUUACACUAUUUGCUUUAGCAAUCUUACGAUGAUGCUUUGUGGUGUUCCUGUAUGAAGCAGAUAAUGUGUGAGCUGCUGGGUGCCUGAGCUUCCCUGGGAUGCUGGAAGCAGCAUCACUGUGUGCCAGUUUCCUGAUGCUGCCACAGGGAACCACUUGUCCUAAUGCUUUUUUUGGCACAAACAGCUGUUCUUAAUGUGGCCAAACCAACUACACCCUAUAUGGUCGCUCUUCUUUGCUGACCACUUGGGCCAGAUUUCAACCAAUGGCAAGGUUAAGAUUAAUCUCUACCACUCUACUAACAAAGAAAAUAGAAAUACUUCCACUGACCAUAAUGAACGUUACACUGGAACUCCAUGCCCUUGAUAAGGAGUCCUUAUGAACUCAAGUGCUUGAAACAAAGCUAAAUGCCAAGCAAACAUUGCGUGUGCUCUGAAAGUAGCAAUGGACGCAAUGUUCUCUGCAGAGAUUGCCAUGCAAGCAAGUUACUGUAGAAACACACUGGAAAUCAAAAUGGUGUUUUUAAUAUUACUGAAUUGUGUGUCCUGUGACAAAGCUGCACAAUACGUGCUGACCACAUAUCAAAGCUUCUUUGUUUAAGAGGAAUAUUGCAUACUGUUGGAAGGGAAUUUACUUGUACUAACAGUUCACUUUAAACAUAUACUCUGCCUACCCACAUGAAUAGUAUUGUUGAACUUAAUGGUACUCAUUUUGAGAUGUAAGCAUUUUGUAUGGCCCUCCAUAUAAUUAGAACAUUAGCAGAGUUAGUUUUGUGAUAGAGCCUGCCAGCAUGGCGUGCAGAAAAGCCGAUUAUACAGGUUAUGUGACUGUCUAUAUAUCAAUCCACCCAAGCCUAACAGUGCAACAAAGUGUCGGGAUUGUUAAACUGUAGUAGAGUCCAAAAUAUCCCAUAAAGACAAUAUUUAUUGUACGGGAUCCGGUUUGUCUACUAUAGCAAAAAGCACACUGAGUUUGGAUAGAGCGAUCUCAUAAAGGGGGUAUUUAUCUCUCUUUCACACGUGUGCAUCCUUCAACAGCGCAGUUUGAAUUAUACUUUUGUUUCUGAAGAGGAUGAAAUAGGACAAUACACAAUGGCAGCUCAAACCGGUGUGUUUUGAAUACAUGGAAUCAACAGUUUUCAUAUGAGUUCUAAAUGUUCACACCAGAACUUUUACAUUUUUAUGUUUUCAUAUCAGGAAUAUAAACUUGUACUUCAGCCUGUGUUUGUGAUGCUUGUUUUCCUUUACCUGCUGAUAAACUAUAUAGUCAGUGGCUUAAUAAGAAUCAUUUAUCUUGCUAUAACAGUACGAAACUCUAACUGCUUCAGAUGUACCAAACAGAAAGACAUCUUGUACUUUCCACAAGACAUGCAAUCCAUUCUGCACCACAUCUUUUGAAAGCAUCUCCUAUCCUAUUCCAACAGCAGUGAUGGAUAUCACAGAUAGAUGUGCCUGGAUGACACGAACAAAAAGUGCAUAAAUGCUGUAAUAUGAGCUAGGUUCAUAUUAACCACAAUUUUUUGCCUCCUAUGUUGUUUCUUCACUUUCACCUCAAGCACAAAGUUGGCAGAAGGUUUUGUAUUAGGUCACCUCUGUUGAGGUUUUUUAACUACAAGAUUCCCAACUGGUAACUAAUUGAAUGUGAAAAGUGCCUGUGUGUACACAUGACUCUGGUACUUGCUGUGGUCUUAGCUGCACAUAUAUGGUGCCAUUUGCUGCACUACUUUUUGGCUGCACAGUAUGAAGCUGAAAGCUGAACAUACGCUUGUAUGUUUUAGUGAGGAUGGGGAGAGUCUGAGAUUCUGUAUGGCACAUCUGCUAACCUUAUCUACAGACUGAGACCUGAGUGUUCAAACAAUGCGAGACCUGAUCCAUAUGGCAGUGGUUGUA